GGCCAGUUGCCGUGGGAGGCCCACCUCCUGCUGACAAGGAAGAUGAUCGAUUCUUCGGUCAGCUUAGGCCCCACAGAGUCCUUGAUUCGGCGUGGCCUGGCAUGUAUGGUGCACCCCGUGCUGGCAGGUGACUCAGGACGGAGCAGUUUCCAUGAGAGGUCCACCGCUUACUGGCAAGGAAGAUGGAUGAUUCUUCUGAUCAAUGGAGGCCACGUUGAAUCCUUGAUUCGGCAUAGCCUGGCAUUUUCAGUGCACCCUGUGCUGAUGGGUGGCUCAGGACGGGGCAGUUGCCUCGAGAGGCCCGCUGCCUGAUGGCAUGACACAUGAUCGAUUCUUCUGUGGAAUCAGUGUGGCCUGGCAUCCAUGGUGAACCUUGUGCUGGCAGGUGGCUCAGGACGGAGCAGUUGUCGUGACAGGUCCAUUGCUUGCUGGCAAGGAAGAUGGGCAGUUCUUCUGACCAACAGAGGCCGCGUUGAGUUCUUGAUGCGGCAUGGCCUGACAUCUGCAGUGCACCCCAUGAUGGCAGCUGGCUCAGGACGGGGCAGUUGCUGUGGGAGGCACAGCACCUGUUGGAAAGAAGAUGGUCAAUUCCUCCAAACAACAAAGGCCACGUGGAGUCCUGGUUUCAGUGAGGCCUGGCUUCCACAGUGGUCCUGGUGCUGGUGGGUGGCCCGGAUGGUAAGCAUUCCUUCACCCCUCUUGCUGAGUCAGGGUGUCUGUGGGAUUUUUAAGACCCACAGGGAGCUGUUUCUCAGUAGCCCACUAAUGGCAUGGCAGGUUUCUGGCCUAGAGAGGAUGGUCUGUGCCGAUUGCUCAGUGGUACAGCUCUGGGUUUUGCAGGGUACCAAAGGUCUUUGAGGUCAUCAGCUCACCCACUGCCCAGCCUGCGGUGUCAAAUGCCCUACGUCUUCAAAUGUGCUUGGAUCGAUGAUGAGUCCUACAAAAAAACAUUCCUUGGAAAAGCUGAACAAAAUGAGUGAAAGCUCAUACUGGCACUCUCGUCGGAACUGAGGUCCAGCACGUUGCCCACUUUGGCUUAUUGUGGUUCGUGCGUCACUUUUCCACCUCACAUUAGACUUCACUACCCAGGCAUUGGCAUUCAAUUCUUGUGGACAUUUUGACCGUAGUAAAAUUCUUUAUCGUAAAGUAUUUGUGAAUCAUACUUUGGCAGCCCAUUACUUUUUCUAGUCUUAUUCUUCUUGGUAUGACGUUGGUUUCACCCUUAAUGUUAGGUUUUGUUUUCUUGUGCAAUUGGUUUUUAGCCAGGUUCCGGUCACCAGUCACAGCCUUUCACCAACGUUUAUUUUUUUCAUGUUGAGGAAGUACAGAUUUCAUGAAUGUUUUUGCUUUUGUUCCAGUCUUGGGCUGACUGGCUUGUCAUCUCUAUCUUAUCCUGAACUGAGUAGUUGUACACGUUUUCGGCUUUCAGCAUCCAGGCCACCAAGUCUUUGGUGUGAACAUUGCACAUGUUGAAACCAUGGUGUUGACUGGGAUGCUCUAUGUAUGUCCAUGCUCUUUAGUGGCAUGAUGCACUCCCAGGGUACCCAGAAUCCACAUGUGCAACUCUGUAUAAGUGUUUCUGUGUACACGAACAUGUGAAGCCAUAGACAGGCAGUUUUCAUAUGUACCACGGAGGUCUGGAUGACAUGGCCCUCCUGACCUGUGUACCUUUCUAUCUUUCUGAAGCACGCUCACUUCAUCUGCGCCUCCCUGGUUGCAUUGGCUUGGAAGGAAGGCCCUUGUUCAAGAAGGAUGGUCUUCAUCUUGUGUAAUCUUUGGAGAUGCCAUGGGCCCCCUGGAUAUAUGGUCUGGGCUCCUUCAGAGCCUUUUGGAUUUCUCCUGAAUGUAAGUCAUUUCU
rnacentral:lncRNA from 13 species